rnacentral:rRNA from 1 species
GGCUUNNGUCAGCUCGUGUCGUGAGAUGUUGGGUUAAGUCCCGUAACGAGCGCAACCCUUGUCCUUAGUUACCAGCACGUAAUGGUGGGCACUCUAAGGAGACUGCCGGUGACAAACCGGAGGAAGGUGGGGAUGACGUCAAGUCAUCAUGGCCCUUACGGCCUGGGCUACACACGUGCUACAAUGGUCGGUACAGAGGGUUGCCAAGCCGCGAGGUGGAGCUAAUCCCAGAAAACCGAUCGUAGUCCGGAUCGCAGUCUGCAACUCGACUGCGUGAAGUCGGAAUCGCUAGU